rnacentral:rRNA from 1 species
AUGAAUGGUGUCACGAAGGUCUCACUGUCUUAAGAAAAUUCCCAGUGAAAUUGAAUUUGUAGUGAAGAUGCUACAUCCAAAUUGUUAGACGAGAAGUCCCCAUGGAACUUUACUGGAGGCCUAUGUAGCUUGAUGGUCUUACAAAUAAAUAGUUUUGAUUAUGUGGUGUUAUCCUCAGUUGAGGGUAGUAAAGCCCACUCUUUUAUUUUAAGAAAGCAAAGGGGGUAGGUCAGACAGUUUGGUUGGGGCGACCGCCUUUUAAAAAGUAACGAAGGUGGGCUUAAGAUACAUAUUAUAAUAACUGUUGUCUGACUGCAAAAGGGGGGCCUUGAGCAGACACUAGUUGUGGUGGGUUGUGUGACCCGUUAAUUUAAGGUGAAAUAGUUAACGAUAAACAGAUAAAAGUUA